GCAAAAGCCCAAACCCAGCUAGCAUGUAUAAUCGGCCCGAGCUCGGCUGCCCUGCGGCAGCUGCGGCUCAGACUCGGCAUCGGCGUGUGUUAACCGAGCCGAUUGUGCCCCGCAGCUCGCUCUGGCACAUUCAUUUUUGUUCUGGCUGUAAGCACUGGGCCGAUUCAUGUUCACCGUAACUGGUAACCCAGCUCUGGCUAUAUGAUCUGGACCACUUUUGGAAAUGACUCGGCUUAUGUUAAAUCAAGGAUGGUUUUAAUGGAUGCCAUUCAAUGUAGGCGACUUUCUUUAACACAAAUGUAGAUUUUUAACUCCAACCGUUUUAGUCUGUCCAUAACAAAAGACAGUAAAAAACAAAACAUGGUCAGACAAAUCCAAAUUAAACCCUGCUGCUCGUUGAUGUCCUAAGACACGAAACGAUCGGUUUCUGUGAGAAACCGAACUGUAUUAUAUAAUUUAUACCUCUAAUACGGCGCCUUCUUCUUCUUUUGAGUUUUAAUGGCGGGUUGCGAAGCAACGUCAUAGUUGCAUACUGCCAUCUACUGUAUCGGAUGCACGGCUUGAGGGCUAUACAGGGACACCCGAAACCGUAGGUGGCGGUAUGCACCUAUGAAGUUGCUUCGCAACCCGCCAUUAAAACUCUAAAGAAGAAGGUGCUGUGCACGGGCUCAUUUGACUACGCAUAGUACUGUAUUAGAGGUAAAAAAAAAUUAUAUAAAUACUGUUCGGCUUCUCGCACAAACCGAUCGUUUCGUUUCUUAGGAUAUCAAUGUGUCGUCACGAGCGGCAGGGUUUAAUUUGGAUUUGUCUGUGCAUGUUUUUACUGUCUGAGAUUUUGUUACUAUUCACAUGCAUACAGACUGAAACGGUUGGAGUUUACAUUUGUGUUGUACUGAAGAAACAAAAUCACAUACAUCUUGGAUGGCCUCGGGGUAAGCUGAUAAAUACAAAAAAUUCAUUUUAAGAUGAAUCCCGUACGUUGGCGGCUGUUUUAAACUGGGUGCUCGGCUCCGACCCUUUUGCCAGUAUGAAGCCGAUUUCAACGGUAACUGCAGAAAGCGUCAGCACGCUCAGCUCAUCACUGGAGUAACGUCUGUACAACGGGUGAGAUAAAACUCAACGCCUGACUGAAUCAUCCAUUCCCUUUUCGAUCCUACGCCAUACGUUAAACUUGAGGUAAUCUUGCUUUUGCUGUUCUAAUAUAAACACUGCUCUUAGCACACCACCCAUACAUGGCACACAAAACAGGUCUUGUGAGGGGGCUGUGCCCACAGGUAGAAAUUCUGUAGGUCCACGGGCUUCUCCCCUUUCAGCGAACAUCACAGCGCUUAGUCCACCAUCGUGGUCUCCAAACUCCAUUACCAACAGCCUGAGUGCUACACCUACAGACACCCCAACCCAUGCAGCAGCUGGCAGAAGUCAGACAUCAGGCCAAACUGGAUUUCAACACACCCCACCCUUACAUGGCACACAAGUAUAUGACACACAACACAGGUCUUCUCAGGAGGCUGUGCCUACAGCAAUAGGCUUUAUGCCCAGCUGCACUACUUCCUGAACUUCAGCCAGCUCCUUGUUUCCUGUCUGCCAUUAUUGGACAAACUGAUUAAUCCAGGUGUGCCUGAGCUUAGUAGUCACAACAACAAUAAUCAGACACACCUGGAUUUAUCAGUUUGUCCAGUAAUGGCAGACAGGAAACAAGGAGCUUAAAGCCUAUUGCUAAGGAGAUCCUCAUCCAGCUCGAUUUUAUUAGAGAGCAGCAGUUGCAGACUUCACCCCAGACCCAACACAUUUUGGGCUCCCACUUUCAACUAUUGAGGAGCUACAAUGUUUGUAGGAGACAUUAAAUAAUCCAGAUGAGAAGAAGAAUUUGGUGAGACUGUGUUUCCUGCAAUGGUCGGAGACAAGACUCUUAAAGACACCGUGGGGUGGGUCCUGAAAAAAACAAUGAACUCUUCGUGGUGAGACUCAUCAAUUGAAGUGGGGUCAACUGAACGCCUGCAUUCAAAGGGCUCACUUUGAAAAGUGUGGUUUUGGAUGCAGUCCGCCGGAAUGCCCUGACCAAAGAUAAAACAGAAAAGGAGAUAGAGCUCCUCAUCACCAGGUGGUCGGUGCUAGCAUAUGACAGGGAUGGUGGCCGAAUCCAGACAAUAGACAGACAAUGAAUUAAAAUGUUUUAAAUUUAAAAAUGUUGAUUUUUGGAAAAUUCGUAUUUGAACUGAUUGUGUGUGUGUGUGUGUGCACCUGGUAAUUAUCACGUUGUGUCCCCACAAAGAUAGGAAUACCAGUAUUUUUGUGACCUUGUGUCCCCAUGAGGAAACAAGCUUAUAAAUCAAACAAAAUGAUGUUUCUUGUAAAUGUGAAGUAGGAGAAGGGUUUCUGUGAUGGUUGGGUUUAGGGAAUGGGGUAGGUAAGGGGAAUAAAAUAUACAGUUUGUAUGGUAUAAAAUGCAUUACGUCUAUGGAAUGUCCCCACAAAACAUGGAAACCUGUUUGUGUGUACGAGAGAGAGAGAAUGUGUGUUCAAGUGAAUAAAAAAUGCAUUAAACGUGAAA